GGAGCUUGGGGGUUCCCAACAGGAGAAUUCAAAUGAAGACUACGCUGAAUCUCCGUCUUCAGUAAAAUGUCCAAGCAGCAUGAUGUCAUCAAUACAGGAGACCCGUGCGGUGUUCUGCAGAAAGUCAACGUGACUGUGGUCGUGCAGGCGACACUGUGACAGGGAGCAGGAGAAUUAUCACCAUCUUGGGGCAUGACCGUGAAUGGCUACUCUUCCCAUACACCUCGAAAGCCUCUGGGUUCUCCUCACUAAUGCGGCUUGAGAAGAACACACGGACAGAUCCAACAUGACCUAGCAUCACGCAAACGGCUUUUGCAGACACGAAUCCAGAUGGAUUAAAAGGAGGAUAUAAUUGGAGUUAUCACCCCUCUAGCUUUAAGUCUUUACGGGAGAGAUUAAUUUCUAAGCCCGAAUUAAUUGCGCAUCUACAGAUUCAGAAACUAAAAGCAUGGUUCUAGUUUUAGCUACUCAAUGUGGGGCAUGGUUGUCACGUAGAAAAAGCUGCAUUGGACAUGCAGGCUGGAAAUAUAGAGGAGAAAACUUGGAGUUCCCAUUGUGGCGCAGUGGUUAACGAAUCCAACUAGGAACUAUGAGGUUGCGGGUUCGAUCCCUGGCCUUGCUCAGUGGGUUGACGAUCCCGUGUUGCCGUGAGCUGUGGUGUAGGCUGGCAGCUACAGUUCCCAUUCGACCCCUAGCCAGGGAACCUCCAUAUGCCGUGGGUGCAGCCCCAGAAAAGACAAAAAGACCAAGAAGAAAAGAAAACUGAACAAGGCGUGCAGAUUUCGGAGUCGGAAGAUGGCAGCUGAAGUCAAGGCAGCGGAUGGGGCUGUCCUCAGACAUCAUGGAGACUAAGCACAGCGCGAGUCUCCCCAAGUCAACAGGACUCGACUCCGGAACCCAGCUGUGAAGCCUGAAACCUUGUCAGCCACCUUGUACCACGAGGCAACCAGCCAGCACACCAAGGGCGGCAGAGUGAAAAGCAGCCACGAGCCUGAGCCUCUGAUGGCAUCUGGGAAGCUCUGCCCCAGCCUCCGGCGGCCUGCCUCCAGACCUCUCCUCGUGUGCGAUAAUGAAGGCAUCUGAUUGUUCGAGACACGGCUUGUCAGGUGUUCCGGGGCAGGGCAGGAAGCAGUCCUGACCGAGAGAAAACGUACAGAGCGGCAGGAGCUAACUGCCAGAAGAGAGGGCUAAGUCAAGGCCGUGCUGGAACCAGCGUUAAGGACAAACCUAUCAAUUAGGGAACACAGAGGGUGGCUGUUUUUCAGCUCAGCUCCUGGUUCUGUGGGGGAGACUUGGAAACAAGAGAUGGAGCCUCUGUUCUGAAAGCGUUUACAGCCACGUGGGAGGCGGUCUGAUGAAAUACCACACCAAACAGCAGGCAGCCAAGAGCUGGGUUUUAUAAGCUCCAAGGAGGGGAGGCUUAGUGCAGGGGCAGUGGCUCAGACGGGGGUGGUUUUCUGGAGGCUGAGGGGCUUGAGCCUCGAAAGAUGAAGGGGGUUUGCUGACUCAUCAUUAGCCCAUCCAUGAUCUCUGCCUGGAGGCAUAAGGAUGCUACAGGAGGUGACCUGCCGACAAGGCCCUGGGGCACAGCAGCGGCUCUUUAAGUCUUAAUGCCCUUCUGGUUCUCCACGCGAGGUGCUUUAGGGGGAUAUUUCCUCCCUCUCAGAUUCAUUUACUUCACGCAUAUCUAUUGAGCCUUUACCGUGGAUGAGGAAUGGCCUCCGAUGCUGUGGACACAGGUGUGGGCAGCGCACACAGUACCUAACCUCAGAGAGCUUCCGCUCCAGGGAGGGAGGCAGGUGGCAAAUGAGAGGAAAACCACAAGGCGACCCUACUUCCCGGAGAGUGUGGCAAGCACCAGAACUCAGGAGGACACCACCGCGGGUACCACAUUCCGCCUCUGUGCCCAGGCCACCCCCUGCUGCUGCGGCGGCCAUUCCCCCCACCCCCGCGUCUCCAGGCUCAUCCACCGGCCCAUCUCCCUCUCUGCACGUCCCACGCAGCGUGUCCGAAGCUCCACUUCACACUGCCCCGGCCCUCACCCUUCGGGGCGGCUGCGCCAUCGUCCCAGCAACCACCCUCUGCCACGCCGAUCUUCUCCUCAAGGUGGCAGCACUGAUCCCUCAGCCUAAGGGGCCCCUCCGGGUAGCACUCCCGCACGUCCAGAGCUCAGGGACCACACAGAGGAUCACCCCAAACUGGGACACAGUGAGGAGGGACAGGGCCGCUCUUAAUAAUCACCUCAGAGGACCGGCAAACCAAGGCGUGUGUGGCCUCCUAGCCAGAGCCCAACGCUGAGGUCGGAUGCUCCAGACAGCCGCUUCCUCUGUCACCUCGCCGUUUCCCAAACCAGGGAACACCUGGGAGGUAUCAAUAGGGACAAAAAAAUAAACUACAAAUUCCACAUCGGACUGAUUUUGAGAAACGCUGGGUCAAUCCAAGAUGACUAGGUAUUAGUGAGAACAUCACGUCAUGUCACCCAAGCCCAUCUGACCAUGGAAUCCCUGUGCGGAGAGCAUCGUGUGGAAGUAACACACUUUGAGAAAUACUGUCCCAGGUGAAUCGUUCCUGGAGUUCGUCUUCUCUCUGUCCUGGUGUUUAGUACUAAGACGUGAACAGCAGGAUGGAGACAGGCUCAUACCCAGCUCUGCCUCUUUCCAGCUGGGUGCUGUUCUGGCUGCAAGUAACCCAUCAGCAGAGAUUGUGGUCCAUCAUUCUGACAGCAACGACGCCUGAGCUAAGAGCUUCUAGCCCAGCAGUGUUUUCCAGGACCCAAAUGUUUUCCAUUCCUUCACCCUGCUGUCUUCAGCGUGUUGCUUAACUCGUCUCGUGGUGGCAGGAUGGCUCCAGCACCUCCGAGCACAGCACACAGAAACAAAGACCUCCCACAAAGAGGGACAUGUCCUCCACGUGUGUAGCCUUGACCAUUGAUUCUUAGCAAACAGUAAGUUUUCCAGAUGCCCCAUCUCCAUCUCCGACACACACACACACACACACACACACACACACACACCCUCACGCCUCUAUAGAAGACGUCUCCUCCCCAGGUCUCUGGCUAAGCAGGGUGUCCAACCAACCCAGUCUACCCAGUCCGCCCAGUCCGCCCCGUCUGCCCAGAACUGAUGUUUCCUGGGAUCCGGCACUAACAGCACUAAAACCAGGACAUUCCUGGGCAACUUGAAUGAGUUCGUGGCUGGAUGGGAACAGACCCGAGGACCGCCUGCAUCCAUCCACGGACAGGGGAACGGAUGCACCACGAUGAGCUUAGGCGCAUCGGGACUUAGACGCCGAAACAGGCGAGGGAGCCAGCUUUCCUGAAUGCAGAAUGAGGGCCACCUGCACAAACUUCCCGACUCCUCACGGCGAGGAAGAGGGAAAGGCUGCUGGGGCGGCGCUCGGCAGCGGGGCCUCUUCUGGGAAAUGAGAUGCAGUGGUCAUUCGCUCCCGGCGAGGUGGCGGGGAAGACUGGAUAGGACAGGUGACCGUGCCUUACACGGAAAACCAACAACAGCAUCUUUUUACUAAGCACUUACUGUGUACCAAGCACAGUGCUAAAGCUAUUACAGUAUUCUCACCACAUCCAAACAACAUUCCAGGAGACGGAUGCCACAGAGAUUCCUGAGACACAAAGAGGCCAGGUGAUGUGCCCAAGGUCAUACAAUGAGAAAGCCGUGGAGCCAGGUCUCAAAGCCAAGUUGAACACUGUGAUGCCCAUAUAUUUUUUGGGGGGGGCGGGGUGUGAGGGGGGUUUAGGGCUGCACCUGGGGCAUAUGGAAGUUUCCAGACUAGGGGUCAAAUCCAAGCUGCAGCGCUUAGCCUUUGACCUACACCACAGCUCAAGACAAUGUUGGAUCCUUAACCCACUGAGCAGGGCCAGGGAUUGAACCCCCGUCCCCAUGGAUACUAGCUGGGUUGGUUUCUGAUGAGCCACAACGGGAACCAAACCAUGCCUCUCAAUCUCUCUGCCCCACUGCCUUGCAGUGUUAAUUUCCUUCCCUUUCAUCUCCAGCACCCGGCACAGGCCCGGCACACAGCAAGCCCUCAUUAAAUACUCUUUGAAUGAGUAGAUGGUAA
rnacentral:lncRNA from 1 species